rnacentral:rRNA from 1 species
CGCGUAGGCGGCCCUGUCAGUCGGGUGUGAAAGCCCGGGGCUCAACCCCGGAACGGCACCCGAGACGGCAGGGCUGGAGACCGGGAGAGGAGGGUGGAAUAGCCAGUGUAGAGGUGAAAUUCGUAGAUAUUGGCUGGAACACCGGUGGCGAAAGCGGCUCUCUGGCCCGGUUCUGACGCUGAGGCGCGAAAGCGUGGGGAGCAAACA